rnacentral:rRNA from 1 species
GAUGAACGCUGGCGGCGUGCCUAAUACAUGCAAGUCGAGCGAACGGACGAGAAGCUUGCUUCUCUGAUGUUAACGGCGGACGGGUGAGUAACACGUGGAUAACCUACCUAUAAGACUGGGAUAACUUCGGGAAACCGGAGCUAAUACCGGAUAAUAUUUUGAACCGCAUGGUUCAAAAGUGAAAGACGGUCUUGCUGUCACUUAUAGAUGGAUCCGCGCUGCAUUAGCUAGUUGGUAAGGUAACGGCUUACCAAGGCAACGAUGCAUAGCCAACCUGAGAGGGUGUUCGGCCACACUGGAACUGAGACACGGUCCAGACUCCUAGGGGAGGCAGCAGUAGGGAAUCUUCCGCAAUGGGCGAAAGCCUGACGGGGCAACGCCGCGUGAGUGAUGAAGGUCUUCGGAUCGUAAAACUCUGUUAUUAGGGAAGAACAUAUGUGUAAGUAACUGUGCACAUCUUGACGGUACCUAAUCAGAAAGCCACGGCUAACUACGUG